GACGAACGCUGGCGGCGUGCCUAAUACAUGCAAGUAGAACGCUGAAGGAGGAGCUUGCUUCUCUGGAUGAGUUGCGAACGGGUGAGUAACGCGUAGGUAACCUGCCUGGUAGCGGGGGAUAACUACUGGAAACGAUAGCUAAUACCGCAUAAGAGUAGAUGUUGCAUGACAUUUGCUUAAAAGGUGCAAUUGCAUCACUACCAGAUGGACCUGCGUUGUAUUAGCUAGUUGGUGGGGUAACGGCUCACCAAGGCGACGAUACAUAGCCGACCUGAGAGGGUGAUCGGCCACACUGGGACUGAGACACGGCCCAGACUCCUACGGGAGGCAGCAGUAGGGAAUCUUCGGCAAUGGACGGAAGUCUGACCGAGCAACGCCGCGUGAGUGAAGAAGGUUUUCGGAUCGUAAAGCUCUGUUGUAAGAGAAGAACGAGUGUGAGAGUGGAAAGUUCACACUGUGACGGUAUCUUACCAGAAAGGGACGGCUAACUACGUG
rnacentral:rRNA from 1 species